GCUGGGUGUGGUGGCAUUCGCCUAAAGUCCCAGCUACUUGGUAGGCUGAGAUUGGAGGAUUACUUGAGUCCAGGAGUUCUGGGCUGCAGUGUGCUAUGCCAGUUGUGUGUCCACAAUAAGUUCAGCAUCAAUGUGGUGACCUCCCCAGAGUGGGAGACCACCACGUUGCCUAAGGGUGAACUGGCCCAGAUCAGAAACACAGCAGGUCAAAUUUCCCGUGCUGAUCCAGUUUCUUCUAUGGUAUUGUCUCCUGCAUUUGUUUUGCUUGGGCUCAGGGCCUGAGAAUGCAUUUUACUCCUUCUCU
rnacentral:SRP_RNA from 1 species